AACGAACGCUGGCGGCAUGCCUAACACAUGCCAGUCGAACGAGACCUUCGGGUCUAGUGGCGCACGGGUGCGUAACGCGUGGGAACCUGCCCUUAGGUUCGGAAUAACUCCCCGAAAGGGGUGCUAAUACCGGAUAAUGUCUUCGGACCAAAGAUUUAUCGCCUUUGGAUGGGCCCGCGUUGGAUUAGCUAGUUGGUAGGGUAAAAGCCUACCAAGGCGACGAUCCAUAGCUGGUCUGAGAGGAUGAUCAGCCACACUGGGACUGAGACACGGCCCAGACUCCUACGGGAGGCAGCAGUGGGGAAUAUUGGACAAUGGGCGAAAGCCUGAUCCAGCAGUGCCGCGUGAGUGAUGAAGGCCUUAGGGUUGUAAAGCUCUUUUACCCGGGAUGAUAAUGACAGUACCGGGAGAAUAAGCUCCGGCUAACUCCGUG
rnacentral:rRNA from 1 species